GUUGCGGUAGCCGAGCGGUUAAGGUGGUUAAGGCGGUCGACUAGAAAUCCAAUGGGAUCUUGCCUUGCAGGUUCGAAUCCUGCCCGCAACG
rnacentral:tRNA from 1 species